AACGAACGCUGGCGGCAUGCCUAACACAUGCAAGUCGAACGAUUAUGGAACUAGCUUGCUAGUGCCCAGAUAGUGGCAGACGGGUGAGUAACGCGUGGGAAUCUACCUAGUAGUACGGAAUAGCCGUUGGAAACGACGAAUAAUACCGUAUAUUCCCUGAGGGGGAAAGAUUUAUCGCUACUAGAUGAGCCCGCGUUAGAUUAGCUAGUUGGUAGGGUAAUGGCCUACCAAGGCAAUGAUCUAUAGCUGGUCUGAGAGGACGAUCAGCCACACUGGAACUGAGAUACGGUCCAGACUCCUACGGGAGGCAGCAGUGGGGAAUUUUGGACAAUGGACGCAAGUCUGAUCCAGCCAUGCCGCGUGC
rnacentral:rRNA from 1 species